rnacentral:rRNA from 1 species
AUUGAACGCUGGCGGCAGGCCUAACACAUGCAAGUCGAGCGGAUGAAGGGAGCUUGCUCCUGGAUUCAGCGGCGGACGGGUGAGUAAUGCCUAGGAAUCUGCCUGGUAGUGGGGGAUAACGUCCGGAAACGGGCGCUAAUACCGCAUACGUCCUGAGGGAGAAAGUGGGGGAUCUUCGGACCUCACGCUAUCAGAUGAGCCUAGGUCGGAUUAGCUAGUUGGCGGGGUAAAGGCCUACCAAGGCGACGAUCCGUAACUGGUCUGAGAGGAUGAUCAGUCACACUGGAACUGAGACACGGUCCAGACUCCUACGGGAGGCAGCAGUGGGGAAUAUUGGACAAUGGGCGAAAGCCUGAUCCAGCCAUGCCGCGUGUGUGAAGAAGGUCUUCGGAUUGUAAAGCACUUUAAGUUGGGAGGAAGGGCAGUAAGUUAAUACCUUGCUGUUUUGACGUUACCAACAGAAUAAGCACCGGCUAACUUCG